rnacentral:tmRNA from 1 species
GGGGCUGAUUCUGGAUUCGACGGGAUUUGCGAAACCCAAGGUGCAUGCCGAGGGGCGGUUGGCCUCGUAAAAAGCCGCAAAAAAUAGUCACAAACGACGAAAACUACGCUUUAGCAGCUUAAUAACCUGCUUAGAGCCCUCUCUCCCUAGCCUCCGCUCUUAGGACGGGGAUCAAGAGAGGUCAAACCCAAAAGAGAUCGCGUGGAAGCCCUGCCUGGGGUUGAAGCGUUAAAACUUAAUCAGGCUAGUUUGUUAGUGGCGUGUCCGUCCGCAGCUGGCAAGCGAAUGUAAAGACUGACUAAGCAUGUAGUACCGAGGAUGUAGGAAUUUCGGACGCGGGUUCAACUCCCGCCAGCUCCACCA